AUUGAACGCUGGCGGCAUGCUUUACACAUGCAAGUCGAACGGUAACAGGGAGCUUGCUCCGCUGACGAGUGGCGAACGGGUGAGUAAUGCGUCGGAACGUGCCGAGUAGUGGGGGAUAACGCAGCGAAAGUUGUGCUAAUACCGCAUACGUACUGAGGUAGAAAGUGGGGGACCUUCGGGCCUCACGCUAUUCGAGCGGCCGACGUCUGAUUAGCUAGUUGGUGAGGUAAAGGCUCACCAAGGCGACGAUCAGUAGCGGGUCUGAGAGGAUGAUCCGCCACACUGGGACUGAGACACGGCCCAGACUCCUACGGGAGGCAGCAGUGGGGAAUUUUGGACAAUGGGCGCAAGCCUGAUCCAGCCAUGCCGCGUGUCUGAAGAAGGCCUUCGGGUUGUAAAGGACUUUUGUCCGGGAGCAAAUGCUGGUGGCUAACAUCCACCGGAGCUGAGAGUACCGGAAGAAUAAGCACCGGCUAACUACGUGCCAGCCGCCGCUGUAACAC
rnacentral:rRNA from 1 species